CCUACGGGUGGCAGCAGUAGGGAAUAUUGCUCAAUGGGGGAAACCCUGAAGCAGCAACGCCGCGUGGAGGAUGAAGGUUUUCGGAUUGUAAACUCCUUUUGUUAGAGAAGAUAAUGACGGUAUCUAACGAAUAAUCACCGGCUAACUCCGUUCCAGCAGCCGCGGUAAUACGGAGGGUGCAAGCGUUACUCGGAAUCACUGGGCGUAAAGGGCGCGUAGGCGGGUUAGCAAGUCAGAUGUGAAAUCCUACGGCUUAACCGUAGAACUGCAUUUGAAACUGUUAUUCUGGAGUAUAGUUGAGGUAGGCGGAAUUCGUGGUGUAGCGGUAAAAUCCGUAGAGAUCAAGAGGAAUACCGAUUGCGAAGGCGACCUGCUAGAACAUAACUGACGCUGAUGCGCGAAAGCGUGGGGAGCAAACAGGAUUAGAUACCCUAGUAGUC
rnacentral:rRNA from 1 species